UUCUCUCUCGCCUACUCUCUCCUUCUCCCUCUCGGUUCUUGGCUGAAAUUCCAGAAAUUAAUUGGAGAAAAUUCGAAUUCAAGAAGGGGUUUGAAGAAGUGAGGUAUAUGAAACAACUUUGAGGUUGGAAUUGCAAAUCCCCAAUUCAAUUAUCGACAAAAUUAGGGCUGUGUGAACGAGGGGUUAUGACGAUCAAGUCACAUCGUUGGAAAGCUUGGGAAGUCAGAUUUCCAGUGGUGGUGGCCUCCAGCGGUG
rnacentral:lncRNA from 1 species